AUUGAACGCUGGCGGAAUGCUUUACACAUGCAAGUCGAACGGCAGCACGGGGCAACCUGGUGGCGAGUGGCGAACGGGUGAGUAAUACAUCGGAACGUGCCCAGUCGUGGGGGAUAACGUAGCGAAAGUUACGCUAAUACCGCAUACGAUCUAAGGAUGAAAGCGGGGGAUCGCAAGACCUCGCGCGAUUGGAGCGGCCGAUGUCAGAUUAGGUAGUUGGUGGGGUAAAGGCCCACCAAGCCGACGAUCUGUAGCUGGUCUGAGAGGACGACCAGCCACACUGGGACUGAGACAUGGCCCAGACUCCUACGGGAGGCAGCAGUGGGGAAUUUUGGACAAUGGGCGCAAGCCUGAUCCAGCCAUUCCGCGUGCAGGAUGAAGGCCUUCGGGUUGUAAACUGCUUUUGUACGGAGCGAAAAGGCUCUCUCUAAUACAGGGGGCUCAUGACGGUACCGUAAGAAUAAGCACCGGCUAACUACGUGCCAGCCGCCGCAGUAAUAC
rnacentral:rRNA from 1 species